GGGCGGGGACGUUUAGAUAUUUUUAUCCUCGGGUUCGUACCAGUUUCCUGGAUUUGAAAAGCAAUUCAAAAGUUCUAAAGUCAGUUAAAUGUUUACACUAUCUCUAUCAAAUAUGAAACAAAUACUAUAAUACAUAAAACGAAUUUCAACACCUAUCAACCUAAUCCGAACUUGUUGAAUCAAAACUGUUUAAAACCCUUUCUGUCCGAUACUGUUU
rnacentral:lncRNA from 1 species